CGCUUUGGUUGCUAUGAUACAUAAUAUCCGUGGAAGUGAUGUGUGUUGUAGGCUCCCUUAUUUUACCGAAUGUAAAAAUGUCACCACAUAGUAGGGUAGGCCUACUUGGACUGGCCCUUGCUCUGCAUGAAGAGAAGGCUGAAGCACGUAGAGCAAGGGAACGGACCCGCGGUAAGUGGGUUCAUGAGAUUUUGUGGGCAAGGAAACACCUCGACGAGUACAUCAUUUCGUUGAACAGUAGGAUUCAGCCAUGGUGUGCAAUGAAGUAGCAAUCUGACUGCCUAUUUAAGUCAGUUGUCGCGGUGACAGCCCGGUUGUUGGUGAGUGUCCUGUUUCUCCUUUCCCUCGCAUUCUGGUUUCUCCUGUGCCUUCUCUCUCUCUCUCUCUCUGUGCUCUCCCCCUCUCCGCUCCGGAGCCCAGCUAGCUACCCACACCUGCUCCUCGUUAACCUCCAUCCCCGGCCGCCGCACCUGCCAGCCAUCAACCUCAUCACGACCAAUAUUUCUACCCCGGCUUUUCCACUCCAUCAUCGCUCGCAGCUCCUGACUUGGUUCACUCACCUCUGCCUCCCCGUUCGGCCAGCCGGGCUUGCUCGCCAGCCUCCUCCUCUCGCCGCCUCCACGACGCCCUCCGGUUUCCCCCAUUGCACCUGCUGGGCCGCCAGCCACCGCAUCCUCUCCUCCACGUCUGCCAGCCUCCCUCGAACCUCCAGCCUAAGCCCCUUCCGCUCCUCCAGCUACUCGGUCCCCCGCGUCCUUGUCUGCCAUUGCCCUUCUUUCCUCCCGUCCCUCCUCGUCCCCCUUUUCCCUCAAUAAACCUCUUUUGAAACCCUCA